ACGCACGCUGGCGGCGUGCUUAACACAUGCAAGUCGAACGGAAAGGCCCUGCUUGCAGGGUACUCGAGUGGCGAACGGGUGAGUAACACGUGGGUGAUCUGCCCUGCACUUCGGGAUAAGCCUGGGAAACUGGGUCUAAUACCGGAUAGGAGCCAUUUUUAGUGUGAUGGUUGGAAAGUUUUUUCGGUGUAGGAUGAGCUCGCGGCCUAUCAGCUUGUUGGUGGGGUAAUGGCCUACCAAGGCGGCGACGGGUAGCCGGCCUGAGAGGGUGGACGGCCACAUUGGGACUGAGAUACGGCCCAGACUCCUACGGGAGGCAGCAGUGGGGAAUAUUGCACAAUGGCGCAAGCCUGAUGCAGCGACGCCGCGUGGGGGAUGACGGCCUUCGGGUUGUAAACUCCUUUCGCUAGGGACGAAGCUUUUUGUGACGGUACCUAGAUAAGAAGCACCGGCUAACUACGUG
rnacentral:rRNA from 1 species